UACACUUCAUAUUUGAACAGGUCUCAGUUUGUAGGCAAUUUCAAAAUUGCAACUUCCAUUUGCAAUGUGUAAUUCAUGUACUUCAUGUAAAUGCUGCUCUGAUAAAGAAUCGACCACGUUUUUUGCCAUAUGGAACAUCUGCUGUGGGGUAUUAAUUCUUGCGUCGAAUAUAAACGGUCUUUUAGACAGUCCUCAAAAAUGGAGAGCAGAAUUGAGCACAGUGAGGAAGGUGGAAUGGUCCGAAAGGGAUGUCACAGCAGUUCGAAUUCUUUCUUAUCUGUCCUGCGUGUUUGCGGUAUCAUAUACGGUCUCUGGAAUAUUGAUUCUAAUUGGGGAUGCGACUGAUAGGAAAUUGAUAUUCACUUUGGGCAAAUACUUGAGCUAUUUAAUGCCGUGCUAGAGUAUUCUGAGCAUAUUUUUACCAAUUGUGCAUUUCAUUACCGUGUGCAGAGUGUGCCGAUAUUACCGAUCCCGCUGGCCAUGAUUGCCUCCCAAUUGCCACUUGUUCCACUUUAGACAUCAUUU